CCUACGGGAGGCAGCAGUGAGGAAUAUUGGUCAAUGGGCGCUAGCCUGAACCAGCCAAGCCGCGUGAAGGAUGACGGCCCUAUGAGUUGUAAACUGCUUUUGUACGGGGGUAAAGUCCAGUACGUAUACUGCUUUGCAUGUACCGUACGAAUAAGGAUCGGCUAACUCCGUGCCAGCAGCCGCGGUAAUACGGAGGAUUCAAGCGUUAUCCGGAUUUAUUGGGUUUAAAGGGAGCGUAGGCGGUCGGAUAAGUUAGUGGUGAAAUCUCGAGGCUCAACUUCGGAAUUGCCUCUGAUACUGGUCGCCUAGAGAGUAGUUGAGGUAGGCGGAAUGCAUGGUGUAGCGGUGAAAUGCUUAGAGAGCAUACAGAACACCGAUUGCGAAGGCAGCUUACCAAGCUACUACUGACGUUGAGGCACGAAAGCGUGGGGAGCAAACAGGAUUAGAUACCCGUGUAGUC
rnacentral:rRNA from 1 species